UACGGAGGUGGCAAGCGUUACUCGGAUUUACUGGGUGUAAAGGGCAGGUAGGCGUCUCAAUAAGUUUCUGGUGAAAUCCUUCUGCUUAACGGAAGAACUGCCAGGAAAACUAUUGAGAUUGAGGCUAGGAGAGGAGAGCGGAAUUCCCGGUGUAAGGGUGAAAUCUGUAGAUAUCGGGAGGAACACCAGAAGCGAAGGCGGCUCUCUGGUCUAGAUCUGACGCUGAGCUGCGAAAGCUAGGGGAGCAAACAGGAUUAGAUACCCCCGUA
rnacentral:rRNA from 1 species